UCAACAAACUUUAAUUGUUUAAGUAGGGUAAGGGUAUUUACGUAAGUUUACACUUCCCUAGCCUUAAUCCUAAUGACUCAUAUUUAAAGCUGUUGUAACCUCAAAAUUAGCCCCUUUCCGUAAGAACAAGCGGCCGCCGCCCCUCCCUUCUCUAAUCCUCCCUUCCCUAAUCUUCUCUGCUUCAUUAUUGUAUCUCCAGAUCAAAUACAAAAAAAAUUUACCUCCCAUUUUCACCUUCUCCUCGCUGAGUUGCUUCUGGAAAUCAUGGCCGGUGUCGUCGUCGUCAACUCGUCCUUUUGGCCUCGGCUUCCGUCACUAAAACAGGCACCAUCUCCAUGGGAUAAGCGUCGCCGUGGGAUCGUCUUUAUCUUUUCCCUUUUCCUCUUAAAGUCUUCUAACAAACGAAAAGUUUCCUUGGAGAAGUUAUGAUUAGAGAAGCAAUCGAUUUCAGAUCGUCACCAAACUUUAGAGAGAGGGUGAACGUUUCCUCUAACUUGUUUGGAGGUGUUUUUUCCAGUUCCUUUGAUAAUCAGAUUAGGGUUUUCUUAAGAACUUUUGGGUUUGGUUCCUUUCUUGGUAUUGUUCUCUUGGGACCCCUCAGGAGUGCGAAUCAAGGAUCCCAAGCAGCCUUUCUCUGAGACCAGAACCUUCAAGAAAACUACUUUGAAAUGGGGGUUCCUGUUUAAUUACUGCAUGGCCAAGUAGAUUACAUGAUAGUGAAUUGUGGCGUUAUUAUCUGUUACCUUGAGUAGAACGUUCACCAUCUCAGGAUUGUGCAAUCCCCUAGGAGUGAUGAUGUGAUGUAAUGACAUGUAGAUUAUUUUAGAGUAUUUAUUUAUACAGAUUUGGAGUGGUUUCAUGAUCUGAUCCACCAUGAAUAUAUCUACUUAAAAGUAAGGGUUGUUGGCACUAGGAAGUUAUGAAAUUAUGACUACUGAACCAAUAGGGUCACUUGAUUAGUUAUGAGUUUGAGCACGCAUACCAAUUUCCUGUCACUUUUAUGUGUCGAUUAGAGUGUUAGACACUCAGUGCAUAUCACUAACCCCAUUUAUAUAUGUAUUGCUUGUACAAUAAUUAUGGACUUUAGGAAAGGAUUCAUGACUCGUUCUAAAAUGAUAUUUCAAUCGUGCGGCCCCGAUUGUCCUAAAAAGAGGUACUUGAAGGAGUUUGACCCCCGGUUUUCCCUCCAUUUGAUUUCAGUCUUGAAACCUUUUGGAUAAAUAUGUAUUUUCUUUGGCUUUGACAUAUUUGAGAUGUUAAUGAUGAUUUAUUGUGG
rnacentral:lncRNA from 1 species